GUUAUAACGUGGUUAUUACCUGGUUAUAACCUGAGACAUUACCUGAUUAUAACCUGGUUAUAUCCUGAGACAUUACCUGGUUAUAACCUGGUUAUAACCUGAGACAAUACCUGGUUAUAACCAGGUUAUAACCUCGUUAUAAC